AAAAAAAAUAAGAAAUAUUUUUCCUCGACGAAACAAACUAAAUUUAACUAACAACAGCGACAGCCAACGCGGUUUGAAGUACGUUCCGCAUACUCAAUCACGGAUUUUGAAAUUGUACAGCGAUUCCAAGCUGUAAUUACGGGUCUAUGAAAUGUAUCGAGCCGAGACUGAAGAAUGAUCGUGCACGAUCGAAAGAAAAUGUCGAAGACUCGCGGUCUCGGUCGCGCGGUUCUACCUGGCAAGACGUUCUAACGAAUCCUCAAUGGCGCCUCGGCUGAAACGGGGACUGACAAUGGGCCCCUGUUGUCAGGAUGGGGGUCUUCCUUCAGUGGAACCUUUGUCAAAGAACGUACGUGGAAGCCGGCUGAGAACCCUCUAGAGGACUCCGUGGAUGACUUGCGUCUCGUGAGCCGUUCGUCGCUACUUGAAGUCAAUUUUUUUCUCAGCAGCACAGCCAGCCGGCGUUCCACUCCUCUCGCCGGACACAACACGAUUGUGUGAGCCACGUCAAAAUUCUUCGCUAAUGGUCCGCUUAUGGUUGGAUACGCGUGUUGUUUUUUCGAACGAGCCCGUGGGAGACUCGGCGCUCAUUACCCGGAUAACUUCAACCGGGAAACGUCUGUCCGCACGAAUGGGAUGACUCCUUUUCCUUCGACUAGCGCUCCGUUUACACGUCCGGCUAUUUGUUACCGGGAUGCACUCGAACUGACCCGUUUGAAUCUCGCGCAUCAAAAAAAGAAAAACUCGUGAAUGUUUAAACUCCGAGCAAUUGUACACGUUCAACAAACACGUAGCACGUGUUGGCAAAUUAAAGUCAUAUAUUCCAAACGCGAUUAGCAGCAGGAACCGCGACUAAAACGACGUUCUCAGCAUCGUACGGUCCGUUCCGAAUGCAAGCCACGAUUUAUUAAGCUCUUGUACGCGCGGCGUUACCGAAAUUAAACAGUAAUUGAACAGUGAUUCGUGGUGUCAUUUCGUCCAAAACACUCCGCAAGAUGGGACCCCCUUCGGCGUAGGUAUAUAGAUAUCGAUCACGUUGAAAGGACGUGUGGCGAGGCAGCCUGUAAUUUUCGCACCCCCAUAAGAAGCCGUAACCCUCCGGCCACCGAAAUUACGUCCGUUUGUGCGCGAUUCUGCGCGCCAAUCAGACGCGGCCUCAUUGCAAGUACGAGAGCGAUCGCGAUAACGAGUAGUCAAGUCGAUCGGUCUUUCCUCCUGUAUGGGGGUGAGUUUCGAAACCAGACACUCCCUUGAGCCUCGUUGGCUUUCUUUCAUGACGGUUUGACAAGAAUUCUAUCAAACAGUUACAUCCGGUUAUAGGCAGUGCGUAUUUUCAGCUAUCAAUAGCAUUCUUUAUAAACACUGAGUACAAUAGUUGGCGUAUAUCGAUCGUGAAAACUUUUACAGAAAAUAAUUUUCAAUUUAGUUUAUCAAACGGUGUUUGAAAAACGAAGAGAUAACAACGAAGAUAAUUUUUAUAAAACUACGGAAUUUCCGUUUUUCAUAUCCAGAAGGGAUACAUUUAUACUGUGACCAUUUUGAUAAGAGAAAUAUCAGGGCCGGAUACAGAAUCGGUCGUAGGAGCUCGCAAUUAUAUUGCCGCAUGCGUGAAUCGCGUGCACAAUUACGCAAACAAGCGGAACGGAGGUCUGCCGGAGACAUUUCGAUUAACUUCACCGCGGGAGCGUUCCGGUUUUUCUUUCUCUGGGUUGUCAGCGCUGGAAAAGUUGGACGAAAUAACACAACGAAUCGGAGGGCGUAGGAUUGACAAUUAUUGUGAUCCUUUUCAAUACUCAAACAUUACGGAGAAUGCUCCUGAAACGCCGGCGUGUAUUGAAGUCCUCGUGAUUUUGGAGUAAGUAAGUAUCGUCCUAAGAAAUGAAUACCAUGGAAAAAGUCUCGGAAAUUUCUCAUUUAGCCGCGAGCAGAAGACGAAGAAAUGCUUCCAGCGUUUUCCACUCUUCAAACAAGAUGUUUCCCUUUUCUCUUGUGUCUCUUUGUCUCCGUUCGAAAUGAGAAAGCCUCUCAAUACCAAAAAUCAAGUAGCGUCUCGUCAAAGAAAACGCAGCAGCGUUUCCUUUACAUUUUUAUGAUGGAGCGACUUCGUGUCGGACGUUAUAGCGAAUUGCAAAACGAAACUCGUGUAUGUUUACGCAAACCAUCGUCCCGAUGAAACGCGUAUUUCUACGUCGGCGUUGUCUGCGUAAGAUUCAGUGAGCAUAACUAAUUAAUUUGUUCAGACCGCAUUGGCCUAACCAAACUCAUCCAUUUAAUCAAGUAAUAUUUCAACGUGCGAAACCUGACAGACGGCGCAUUGUCAAAUCGCUCAGUGGACACGAUAAUUUCAUUUGAUAGCGGAAGCAGACCCUUCCGGCCUCUUCUUUCUUUCGACGUUAACGGUUCGUUACGGUUCGAACGACAUCAAAAUUUUAUCCCGGUGUUUCAUCUACGAGAGAACGAACGAAUGUUUCAAGAAUGUUCACGGACAUUUCCAUAAUUUCCUCUUGAACGGAGUCGUUUAUUUUGUAUUGUCGAAUAAAUUUCAGCGGAGGAAUUUACUUGACAACGAACACGCUCGUCGUGCACAUCAAGCGCCAUAAAAUGCCCCUAAUCGAUAUGAAAACUGGCCGGCGCGGCGCUCUUCUUCGUGUUGUUUUGCGGCACGCAUCGGCGUGCGCGCACACGAGCGCGCGAGAAACAAAAAAUAUGUGCGGGACAAAGGGUCCAGAGAGAGAAGCUACAAAGAAAUUAGGAAAGAAAUAGGGGGUCGGAGUGGUCGCGGAACAGGCAGGAACAGAGCAAGGGACGAAGAAACUCGAUGGAGACGCGCGCGCUAUAUCGAGAAGCGGAAGGAAAUUCACGCGGCAACGAGUCGGACAGAGAGGCGGCGAGAGUGAUGACGAAGAGCAGGAGGGAUCGCGGCGUAGGACGAGGGAGGAGGUACAGGGGUGAAGGUAGAGUGAAAGAAGAGGUAGAGAAAAGACGAAGAAAGCCGGUACUCCCACACAAAAAUAUCACCGUUAACGAUUACUAACCCCUCUUUUCGUCCCGCGCGCUCGUUAUAUUGUGUCCCCGCCGCGCGCGCAAAUUUAGAAACAAAAGACGGGUGGAAGGCGCGGCCUGAUUGGCCGACCGGUCCGCGACUCGUCUCUCUGAUUGGCCCGCGGGACCGCACCCAUCCUGCAAUGGCCGCUUUGUCGUUUCACGGCGCCGUUACUCUCUUCCUCUCUCUCUCUCUCUCUCUCUCUCUCUCCCUUUCCCCCUCUUUCUCCUCUCUUUCUGUAUACGCGCCUGUACGCUUCAGCCACGAAGCUUCAACAACCCCGUGAAUCGCGACUCGACUGUACCUACCUAUCUACCCCUUUCCCUUGCAUCUCUUUUUACUCUUCUUUUCCUCUUUCUCGCGAUCUUUCUCCUCAUUUUAUCUAACCGCCGUGUCUUCGUCGCACGUAUCCUCAACGUUUCUUUUCUACCUUUGGUGUUGUCUCUUCUAGAGAUUCCUUUGCCACCCUUGUUACACGGACCACUGUUAUCCCUCUAACCUUCGUCACCCUGGUUUCUCUAGUUACAUACAAAAAUAUAUCUAGUAGCGUGUAUGUACCUACGUGCAGCGGACAUGUACGCACAGACACCCAUGGAUGUUAUCGUGCGUGUACACCCACGUGUCAGGCAUGGUUCGCACGUAUGUUGUUCGUGAAAGGAUACAGUGACGCGAAGGAUUAAGGAGAAGGAGGCAGAGAAGAAGCAAGGAUGGAGGGGUAAAUCACGAUGCGAGGAUGAGGGACGAGGAACAGGGAGAGAAAGGGAAGUUUGUCCCGGGUCCGCCAUGCGGAAACCUAUCUCAGCCUGGUACUCCACGAGUCCGCGUUACUUAACGAAAACUAUCGCCAAUGUUACUCUCAUCUCGGCACGGUCGAUAAGAAGGAAAGUAUUCCUGCUGUGUCGUCACGAAGACGAAGAACUUAAUGAGGAAGCGUCGGGCGCAUUCAGUGGAUUCAAGCAAAUUUCUUGCAUGCUGGCUUAAUUUUAUCCAACAUUUCUUCCUUGCCCAUACACGCGCCUCUCUAUACCAUCCAGCAGCGCCUUUUCUGAGCCGAGCGUCAAAUAAAUUUUGCUCUAUUUAUUCUAUCAAUCUUGUAAAAAGACUUGGACGCGUAGCAUAACUACCAGCUUCGGGCAGAAUCACUUUCAUUAAAGCGAAAGGAUAAUUAAAAUAACAUGACCACUGAUUGCAAUAUUUUCCACGAACAACGCGAAUGAGUGUGCAUGCACGCAUAUGCAAAAAAUGAAGGAGUCGAAUGGAAAAUAAAUAUUUGAGGCUCGACUGCGCACAGCUUAAGACACCGAGCAUGGAGCUCGCGCGAUGCAUUGUUUCACAAGAUUGUAGAGAGGCCUCUUUACGCCACCCCGGCACCGCGUUGCUUCCUGCUGCCGGCUUUUUAAGUAUGCUUAUUUACCGCAAGCCGUCGAACCAAUCGCUUUGCACGUCGGAGGACGUAGACGCAAGUGGAUGCUAAUAACCUGAAGAAAAUGGUGUUGCUAUAUGUACUGCAUCGUAACUAAUGGAAAAUAUCAUAGAUACGAAUUGCCGUGUAUCUUUUCAUAUUAUUCUUACGAUAAAUUGCAAUUGUUAUUUUGUACGGACUAGUUGACGCAAAUAAAAUAGCAUCGAGGGUUUGAAGUUUGUUCGUAUUUUCUUUCCAAGCGUAUCCUACGAGAUUAAACGAGAAAACGAACAAAUCCAGAGAAAAUUCUUUCUCUUUGUACGAAGAAGUCGAACGAUAUUUUAGAUCUGUGGCUCGAGACGCAGUUCUGCAUCUCCUAACUAGAUUGUCUCGCACAAUCGUGGAAAAGAAAUAGCAAAUGGCGACGUAUUCUCGUAUUCUCGCGUGAGAAUGAUCGAUAUUAAACACGGCAGGAAGCGUCAGGAUGGCUAAGUAGGAGGCUGUAACCAAAUCGAUUAAUCAAAUCCAGUUAGCUAUUACGGGACCAGCGGGACACGUUUGCCCUCUACCCUGAUAUAUUCCCGGCUUCCCAGCGACCGAUGCUUCUCUCUCCUCUAAUUUGUCCUGGAUCUAAUCCGUUCGUAGUGCCCUCGAAUAUCGUGGGAUGUCGCGACCUCCCUCGGGAACUACGCUAGGGAGACACCGUGUUUGCGCAUACAGCCACUUCAGAAGCAAUUGUUUUUAAUCUUCUCGAUGAGAGAACUCGCAAGAUUACGCUUGCUCGUAUACGUCGCCGUUCCAACAAAUUGACCGUCACUCUGAAACGUUUUAUUGGAUUUAAUAUGACAUCGGACAAGGUCGAUCGAACGACUGAAUUUGAGUGUGAGUUUUGCAGAAAACAGAUAGCAUCUGUAGACUAUGUUCUCUCGCGAUUAUUAAUAACUGAAUAUUUUGGGCGCAAGUUUCAAGAUGUCGAGCAUUCCUUUGAAAUUUGCAACUCAAAGACUUUUUCCAAACUUUCCUCAUUUUCUGUAGUAAAGUAUAUCAAUUUCAAAGUUGCAGUCUGCGACCAAAGCAUACAUCAAACAGGCCGCGACUUGGAGAGUCAGCAGCCAGAAACUUCAACCCCCUUCUUUCGUUCCUCCCAACGUCCUGCGCGCGAUUACGAACAGCGGAACACAAUCAUCCAGAAAAGUAUCUUCCUCAACUGCUGUCAGGAGCGCCGAUAAAAGGAAGAAAUCCAGUAACUUCAGAGAAAACUUUGCGGUCUACUCGGCCAGGAGCACAGACUUUGUGCACACAGAGGCAGCCGGAGAGGCAGCUCUCGAAACACCCUCUCGCGUGAAAACAGUGGUAGUUUCCUGGCUAAAUAUAUUCACGCCAUGCGUACGUACACGCUGAGACCAGGCAGUGUUAUUUCGCGCACUCACACAACCAACUCUUGGCGAUUACACGAAGAUUCCAUCGCACAUCCCCACACGUUUACGGUGGUUGACGCGAAUGUACAUGUGCGUGUGUUCCGAGUAGCUGAGAAAAUGUGCGUGUGUAUGCAUUGGCUCGUGGAGCAUCGCGGAGAGGGUGGCGAGAGACGGUGGCGAUACUUGGUGGUGGUGGUGGUUGCGAGUUCCUAAGCGAGGGUGUGCGCGGCGCUGUCGGGUUUCAGGGUGGUUGCAGGGUGGUUGCCAUCGGUGUGUGUCGGUGGCAAGCUGGUUACCAGGCAACCGGCAAUAAAGGAGCGUGGAUAGCCAAUGGCGGCCCUCAAUACACCCCUUCGUCUAACACGGCUUGUUUUCCGUGCUUAAGAGCGAGACAGAAGAAGCUUUUGCUUUAGUAGCUGUUAAGACCUUAAACCCGUGGCCUUGCUUGGCUGGCUUGCGCCAGACUGCUCGUAUCUAAUAGAACCUCUUAGAAACCGACGGCCUGUGUUUCUUCGAUAAUUGAUAUUCUAAUCCUGCCUGAUGCUGCCUCUUAUCGUCACUGAUCGAACCCCAUGAAAUUGCGUUUAACGUUUCAUAGACGGGGUCAACAUCUGCCCUUUGGACUCGCCAUUCGUUGAAAUUGCAUCCAACUGGACACUGGACAGAAGACUCGAUCCGGUGAAAACCGGUCGAGAGAAAGGGAGGCUGCCGAACGACGAGUUUACAUCGAGCAAAUGGAAACGCGCGAAGUGUUACGAGACGAAGGGUGGGUCAGAAACGUCGUCACGUUGUUACACAGUGGCCCGUGUGUACGCUAUCCCAUGGGGAGAGCGAAGGUAGCACGUAGCACACCCCUGGGACGUCUUCAGUCGUCACUUGUCCGUAUUAAACCAGGGUACUAAUCCCGAAAUUUAAUUUGAAAAUCUUUUCAUAGCAUCGUCGUUCAUCCCUUCUUCUUGUCCAUCUUUCUCCAGCUCUCCCUUCCGCGUGUUCGCUAUGCACCGCGAAGUCGUUUUAAACCCAGAGAAUUACCCGGUCUUUUGUGCGUCGUAAUUGAAAAUUCGUUUCCGCCCCUUUUCGCGGCUCGGAGAACGGAUAAAUGCCCUUUCGUGGAUUCAUCGAGAGAAAUUACCUCGUCGCCGUGUGAAUGAGACGACCCGUCGUCUUCUUGUCGUCUUCUUCUUGGUCCCGUUCCGCGAGACGCCCGAUUUCCUCGUUUCGGCCUGGCUGCCAUUUUAUAAACGAAACUACGUAAAUACGAGACGAGCUAGUGAAAGCAGCCGGAUGAUUAACGAAACAAAUGCUAGUUUCCUCGUCGUUUUCGUGCUGGUAUCGCAAACAUUGUUAGGAAAAAUUGAAUCUGUCUCGUGACAAUGGAUAAUUAAAAACUCACGGAGUAUCUCGUCAUUGAAUAACAGAUUGUUAUCAAGAAAGUAAUUAUGUACUGUCUUAAAUAUCAUUAAAGAAAUACUACUAAUUAAUAAAUUCUCCUUUGAAAGUUUA